GUUGUACUCCCUCCGUCCCAUAUUAAGUGACUCAAAUUUGUCUAAAUAUGGACGCAUCUAUAUACUAAAAUAUGUAUAGAUACAUGUAAUAUAAAGUCACUUAAUAUGGGGCGGAGGGAGUACUAC
rfam:Brachypodium distachyon strain Bd21 chromosome 2, whole genome shotgun sequence.